rnacentral:rRNA from 1 species
AGGUGCUGCAUGGCUGCGUCAGCUCGUGUCGUGAGAUGUUGGGUUAAGUCCCGCAACGAGCGCAACCCUUGCCUUUAGUUGCCAGCAGUUCGGCUGGGCACUCUAAAGGGACUGCCGGUGUUAAACCGGAGGAAGGUGGGGAUGACGUCAAGUCCUCAUGGCCUUUAUGACCAGGGCUACACACGUACUACAAUGGCCGAUACAAAGGGCAGCGACACUGCGAGGUGAAGCCAAUCCCGUAAAAUCGGUCUCAGUCCGGAUUGGAGUCUGCAACUCGACUCCAUGAAGUUGGAAUCGCUAGUAAUCGUGGAUCAGCAUGCCACGGUGAAUACGUUCCCGGGCCUU